rnacentral:rRNA from 1 species
AUUGAACGCUGGCGGCACGCCUUACACAUGCAAGUCGAACGGUAACGGGCCUUCGGGUGCCGACGAGUGGCGAACGGGUGAGUAAUACAUCGGAACGUGCCCGAUCGUGGGGGAUAACGAGGCGAAGGCUUUGCUAAUACCGCAUACGAUCUACGGAUGAAAGCAGGGGACCGCAAGGCCUUGCGCGGACGGAGCGGCCGAUGGCAGAUUAGGUAGUUGGUGGGAUAAAAGCUUACCAAGCCGACGAUCUGUAGCUGGUCUGAGAGGAUGAUCAGCCACACUGGGACUGAGACACGGCCCAGACUCCUACGGGAGGCAGCAGUGGGGAAUUUUGGACAAUGGGCGCAAGCCUGAUCCAGCCAUGCCGCGUGCAGGAUGAAGGCCUUCGGGUUGUAAACUGCUUUUGUACGGAACGAAAAGCCUUCUUUUAAUACAGGAGGGUCAUGACGGUACCGUAAGAAUAAGCACCGGCUAACUACGUG